ensembl:lncRNA
GUUCUCCAUAGAUACAGAGGGUUAGAGAGGUUCUCCAUAGAUACAGAGGGUUAGAGAGGUUCUCCAUAGAUACAGAGGGUUAGAGAGGUUCUCCAUAGGAUACAGAGGGUUAGAGAGGUUCUCCAUAGAUACAGAGGGUUAGAGGUUCUCCAUAGAUACAGAGGGUUAGAGAGGUUCUCCAUAGAUACAGAGGGUUAGAGAGGUUCUCCAUAGGAUACAGAGGGUUAGAGAGGUUCUCCAUAGGAUACAGAGGGUUAGAGAGGUUCUCCAUAGAUACAGAGGGUUAGAGGUUCUCCAUAGGAUACAGAGGGUUAGAGAGGUUCUCCAUAGGAUACAGAGGGUUAGAGAGGUUCUCCAUAGAUACAGAGGGUUAGAGGUUCUCCAUAGGAUACAGAGGGUUAGAGGUUCUCCAUAGAUACAGAGGGUUAGAGAGGUUCUCCAUAGAUACAGAGGGUUAGAGGUUCUCCAUAGGAUACAGAGGGUUAGAGGUUCUCCAUAGAUACAGAGGGUUAGAGAGGUUCUCCAUAGAUACAGAGGGUUAGAGAGGUUCUCCAU